CCUACGGGUGGCUGCAGUGAGGAAUAUUGGUCAAUGGACGAGAGUCUGAACCAGCCAAGUAGCGUGAAGGAUGACUGCCCUAUGGGUUGUAAACUUCUUUUAUAUGGGAAUAAAACGUUCCACGUGUGGGAUUUUGUAUGUACCUUAUGAAUAAGGAUCGGCUAACUCCGUGCCAGCAGCCGCGGUAAUACGGGGGAUCCGAGCGUUAUCCGGAUUUAUUGGGUUUAAAGGGAGCGUAGGUGGAUUGUUAAGUCAGUUGUGAAAGUUUGCGGCUCAACCGUAAAAUUGCAGUUGAAACUGGCAGUCUUGAGUACAGUAGAGGUAGGCGGAAUUCGGGGUGUAGCGGUGAAAUGCUUAGAUAUCACGAAGAACUCCGAUUGCGAAGGCAGUUCACUGGACUGCAACUGACACUGAGGCUCGAAAGUGUGGGUAUCAAACAGGAUUAGAUACCCUGGUAGUC
rnacentral:rRNA from 1 species